rnacentral:rRNA from 1 species
GAUGAACGCUAGCGACAGGCUUAACACAUGCAAGUCGAGGGGCAGCAUAGAAGUAGCAAUACAACUGGUGGCGACCGGCGCACGGGUGAGUAACGCGUAUGCAACCUAACUAUCAGAGGGGAAUAACCCGGCGAAAGUCGGACUAAUACCGCAUAAAACAGGGGCACCGCAUGGUGAUAUUUGUUAAAGAAAUUCGCAGAUAGAUGGGCAUGCGUUCCAUUAGGUAGUUGGUGAGGUAACGGCUCACCAAGCCGACGAUGGAUAGGGGAACUGAGAGGUUGGUCCCCCACACUGGUACUGAGACACGGACCAGACUCCUACGGGAGGCAGCAGUGAGGAAUAUUGGUCAAUGGGCGGGAGCCUGAACCAGCCAAGUCGCGUGAAGGAAGAAGGAUCUAUGGUUCGUAAACUUCUUUUGCAGGGGAAUAAAGUGCGGGACGUGUCCUGUUUUGUAUGUACCCUGGGAAUAAGGAUCGGCUAACUCCGUGCCAGCCGCCGCCGUAAGAC